CUUGGGACGAGUCGGUUAAGAGAGACCUUAAAGAUUGGGAUAUCUCUGAGGAGCUAGUUUUGGAUAGGAGCGCUUGGAGACUAGCUAUUAAUGUGUCUGAACCAUGACUUUUAUGUCUUUUGAGUUUCAUCUCUAGCCUACCCCAACUUACUUGGGACAAAAAGCUUUGUUGUUGUUGUUGUUGGUAUAUGUGUAUGACAGCCUGACCACUGGAGAUAUCAAUCAGUAUCACAAAAUUCUCUCCUUUGAUUUGGAACCUGGCAUUUUAAGGUGUCUUCUAUUUAAUGCUUCUUUCCAUGUGUUCCCACGAGUAUAAAUGAAACCUCAAUCUUGAUUUUACAAUCGCCAGCACGCAAGGAAACUCGCGGUCGAUGACCAAUGCGUGCGGGGCCCACGGGAUAUCUCUCCCCACCUCCUCCUCUUUCCCUUUCACACUGCUUCUCUUUUCUCCUUCUCUGUAUCUCCCCAGGCGAGCGAAUCUGGUCUCUGGAUCCCCCGAGGUGAACGGCGGAGAGGCCCAGCUGGCUGGUGGCGGAGCGGCCGUCCGGCGACGGGAACCUCCAUCCAUCUCUCCCUCCCUCUCUCUCCAGCGAUGGAAGGCGCCGAUGGGGCCCGACCUCCCAGGCUGGUGGCGCGGUGGUCUUCAGCGGCGACGGCGGGUUGCCCAGCCUCCCCGGCCCUCUGACCUCCCCGGAGCGCCGCCCCCUGAUCUCCGCGGUGGCUGAGCUGCCCACGCCGAGGAGGAUCCCAUGGCGCGCGGCGGGGAGGCGGUGCGGGCGGCUCGCCGACCAGGGAUCGAGUAGCUAUUUGGAAAUAAUCAUUCUAUGAGCUGGAGUAUUUGGUUGUCAGAUAACAAUCAGAUUUUUCAGGGGAAUUCAGUCAACCAUCUCUCGCUGCAAAGAUAUUUUCAAGAAGGAGUUGGUUGUUGAUAUAUGCAUAAAGCAGAGAAAAUACUUCCCUGCAAAUGAGUUAUAUGGCUAAUCUAGUAUCUACUUUAACUUUUUAUUUCUUUCUUUGUUUCUUGAGUUUUGUAGCCAUUUAUGUACUUGUUCCUACUUAUUUUUGAACAUAUUCAGUAGGGCGAACGCCCCUCCGAUCCUGAUUCCUCAAAAUAAAAUUGUACUUA